GACAGAGGCCUCAAGCGUUAGGCGGAAUCACUGGGCUUAAAGCGUGUGUAGGCGGAUCGUUAAGUGUCUUGUGAAAUCCCACGGCUCACCCGUGGAACUGCUGGGCAUACUGGCGAUCUUGGGCCAACUAGGGGCAACUGGAACAAGCGGUGGAGCGGCGAAAUGCGUAGAUAUCGCUUGGAACGCCGAAGGUGAAAACAGGUUGCUGGGGUUGUGCCGACGCUGAGACACGAAAGCCAGGGGAGCAAACAGG
rnacentral:rRNA from 1 species